rnacentral:tmRNA from 2 species
GGGGAUGAUCGGUUUCGACAUCGCCUGCGAAUCUGCGAGAAGCGGGCCGAGGAUGCAGGGUUAUCUCGAGAACGCUCCCUGCAAAAACUAUAGUUGCCGAUUCCAAUCGCAACGACUUCGCCCUCGCUGCAUAAGCGAGCCCGAUAGUCCGUCAGACCGUGGGCGACCCCGCCACGGACCCUGGCGUCAUUUAGGGGUCUUGCUGAACGGUGGCGUCUGGACGCCGUUCGGGACUUUUCCCAGGCUGGGCCCGUCGACUUAGGUGUCUGUGACAAAUGUCGGGGCCGAGUAGAACGUCUUCACAGACUGCGCCCGGAGAAGCCCCAGAGACUCAGUGAUGGACGGGGGUUCGAUUCCCCCCAUCUCCACGC